rnacentral:rRNA from 1 species
AGGCAGCAGUGGGGAAUUUUGGACAAUGGGCGAAAGCCUGAUCCAGCCAUGCCGCGUGCGGGAAGAAGGCCUUCGGGUUGUAAACCGCUUUUGUCAGGGAAGAAACGCUUCGGGCUAAUACCCUGGAGUAAUGACGGUACCUGAAGAAUAAGCACCGGCUAACUACGUGCCAGCAGCCGCGGUAAUACGUAGGGUGCAAGCGUUAAUCGGAAUUACUGGGCGUAAAGCGUGCGCAGGCGGUCUUGCAAGACAGAUGUGAAAUCCCCGGGCUCAACCUGGGAACUGCAUUUGUGACUGCAAGGCUGGAGUGCGGCAGAGGGGGAUGGAAUUCCGCGUGUAGCAGUGAAAUGCGUAGAUAUGCGGAGGAACACCGGUGGCGAAGGCAAUCCCCUGGGCCUGCACUGACGCUCAUGCACGAAAGCGUGGGGAGCAAACAGGAUUAGAUACCCUGGUAG